GACGAACGCUGGCGGCGUGCUUAACACAUGCAAGUCGAACGGAAAGGCCCUGCUUGCAGGGUACUCGAGUGGCGAACGGGUGAGUAACACGUGGGUGAUCUGCCCUGCACUUCGGGAUAAGCUUGGGAAACUGGGUCUAAUACCGGAUAGGAACCAUCUUUAGUGUGGUGGUUGGAAAGUUUUUUCGGUGUAGGAUGAGCUCGCGGCCUAUCAGCUUGUUGGUGGGGUAAUGGCCUACCAAGGCGGCGACGGGUAGCCGGCCUGAGAGGGUGUACGGCCACAUUGGGACUGAGAUACGGCCCAGACUCCUACGGGAGGCAGCAGUGGGGAAUAUUGCACAAUGGGCGCAAGCCUGAUGCAGAGACGCCGCGUGGGGGAUGAAGGCCUUCGGGUUGUAAACUCCUUUCGCUAGGGACGAAGCUUUUUGUGACGGUACCUAGAUAAGAAGCACCGGCUAACUACGUG
rnacentral:rRNA from 1 species